rnacentral:rRNA from 1 species
GGGUUCGAUUCCGGAGAGGGAGCCUGAGAAACGGCUACCACNNCCAAGGAAGGCAGCAGGCGCGCAAAUUACCCAAUCCCAAUACGGGGAGGUAGUGACAAUAAAUAACAAUAUGGGGCUCUUACGGGUCUCGUAAUUGGAAUGAGUACAAUUUAAAUCUCUUAACGAGGAACAAUUGGAGGGCAAGUCUGGUGCCAGCAGCCGCGGUAAUUCCAGCUCCAAUAGCGUAUAUUAAAGUUGUUGCAGUUAAAAAGCUCGUAGUUGAAUUUCGGAGUUUGUCGGUUGGUCGGGCUUCACUGUCCGCACUGGCCUGAUGGAUUCCUACCUUCUGAAUAACCAGCAUGCUAUUAAGUUAGUGCGUUGGGGAAGCAGAGCUAUUACCUUGAAAAAAUUAGAGUGCUUAAAGCAGGCUUUUGCUUGAAUAGAUUAGCAUGGAAUAAUAAAAUAGGACGGCAUGGUUCUAUUUUGUUGGUUUCUAGGAUCACCGUAAUGAUUAAUAGGGAUAGUUGGGGGCAUUAGUAUUCAAUUGUCAGAGGUGAAAUUCUUGGAUUUAUUGAAGACUAACUUCUGCGAAAGCAUUUGCCAAGGAUGUUUUCAUUAAUCAAGAACGAAAGUUAGGGGAUCGAAGACGAUCAGAUACCGUCGUAGUCUUAACCAUAAACUAUGCCGACUAGGGAUCGGACGAUGUUAAUUUUUUAAUGACUCGUUCG